AUGUCCAUAUGGGGACAUCCAUCCAUUAGGAUCCGUCGUUUCCCAUUUCCUGGUCUCUCUGGGGACGCUGAUCCACUGGGAUCCAUCGGUUUCUCCCUUGAUGUCCCUUUGGGGACAACUACCCCCUGGGACAUGUCUGUCCCCAGCUCCAGCCCACCGUGGGAAGCUGACAGGAGGGAUCCAUCCGUUCCCAUUUCCGGCCCCAUUGGGAUCCAUCCCAACACUUCUGUGCCUACUGGGCUCACUGCAACCCCAUUGGGAUCUAUCCUGACAUCUCCAUAUCCAUUUGGGAUCACCACGAUCCCAUCAGGAUCCAUCCCAACUCCUCUGCGUCCUGUCGGAUCUCCCCAGUCCCAUUGGGAUGACUCAGCCAUCCCAAAAACUCUGUGCCCGCUGGGAUCACUCCAAUCCCAUCGGGAUCCACCCCAACACUUUGGGAUCUCUCCAAUCCCACAGGGGUCCCACUGGGAUUCAUCCCAACGCCUCUAUAUCCAUUUGGGAUCACUCAGAUCCCAUUGGGAUUCAUCCCUGUACCUCCAUGUCAUUUGGGAUCACCAUGACUCCAUCGGGGUCCAUCCCAACAUCUCUGUGCCCAUUGGGAUCAUUUCAAUCCCAUUGGGAUCCAUCCCAACACCUGUGUCCUUUGGGAUCUCUCCAAUCCCAUCGGAAUCUCUCAGAUCCCAUUGGGAUCCAUCUCAACACUUCGUGUCCUUUGGGAUCUCUCCAAUCCCAUCGGAAUCUCUCAGAUCCCAUUGGGAUCCAUCCCAACACUUCAUGUCCUUUGGGAUCUCCCCAGUCCUAUCAGGAUCUCUCCAAUCCCAUCGUGAUCUAUCCCAACACUUUGGGAUCUCUCCGAUCCCAUUGGGAUCCAUCCCAACACCUCUGUGUCCUUUGGGAUCACCCCAAUCCCAUUGGGAUCCACCCCAACACCUCUGUGUCCUUUGGGAUCACCCCAGUCCCAUUGGGAUCCACCCCAACACCUCUGUGUCCUUUGGGAUCGCUCCAAUCCCAUUUUGGUGCUGCAGCUGCAAAUUCAAUCAAUUCCCUACUUCGUUUCCAUUUUUAAAUCCUUUUCCCCACUUAAUUUCCCCUUUUUACCCCAGUUCCCCACCCCAUUUCCUCACCCCGCCCCAUUUCCCCCAAGAUUUACCAAAUCUCCUCGGGCCGUCCCGAGAAAACUUACAAACUGAAGCAGAAAAAUGGGUAAUUUUGGGGUUAUUUUCACCUAUUUCUGCUGGAACACAUGAAAUUGCGAAGGGUGGUUUCGGGGCAGGUUCAGUUGAACGGUAUUGAUGGACAGCAUUGGGGUGGUUUUUUUUUAUUAUUUUUUUACUGUUUUGUGUCUCUGUGAUUUCUCAAGGCGUGGGGCCCAACUGCGGCCGCACAAAAUGGGGAGAAAACACCCAGAUUUGGGUCAGCUGCACAGGACGUUGGCACCGAACGAGGACUCGUGAGUCCACGCGGAGCUGCAGCCGCUCACGCUGGGUUUUCCCAGUUCCCCAUUUCUGUACCCAAAAUGGGAAGAAAAAAAUGGGUCCUUUUUCAGUUUUUUGUUUUUUUUUUUUUAAGGUAAAAAAAUAUAUAUAGAUUUUUGUUCCUAGUUCUGAUGUGAUGGUUUAUUUCAGAGCAGCCUCGGAAUUGGGGGCCCAAGGUGGGAUGGAAAGUGUUUUCCACCUGACAACGUUCUUCUGCAAAGGGUUCUCCACCUAAAAAUGCCAUUUCCCACCCAAAAAACCCCAUUUUCUACUAAAAUACAGCAGUCUUUGGCUUGAGAAGGGUCAUCUUCAAUGUGAAAGUGGACUCUACAUAAAAAUUGAGUUUUCUACCUAAAAGUGGCGAUCUUCUGCUGCUUACAAAUGCCAGUUCUCUACCCAAAAUCAAUCUUUUUCCACCCAAAAUGACCUAAAAAAGCUUUUUCCCGACUCAAUUAUGGCCUUUUCCAGCUAAAAAUGGUCCCAUCUUACGUUUUCUGACACAAAGAGCUUUUCCUACCUUAAAAACUUGUCGUUUUCUACCUGAAAAGAGUAAUGUUUCUAACUGAAAAGUGGAAACUUGAGUUUUCCGACCCAAAAAUGGCCUUUUCCGUGUAAAAAACGGACUUUUGCACCUAAAAACUCUCGAGUCCACUUAGUUUUCUGUCCACUCCAAAAACGGUCCUUUCUACCUAAAAACUGAUCCUUUCCUUCCUUCCUAAAAAAUUGAGUUUUUCUACCUAGAACGACUCAUUUAACUAAAAAUCCACGUUUUCUAUCUAAAAGUAGUAUUUUCCCACCUCAAAGUGGCUUUUCUGACUAAAAAACGGUGUUUUUUUCCCCCUCCAAGUCACCUUUUUCUACCCAAAACCUUUUGCCGACCCCAAAACAGGAUUUCUCCACCCAAAAAUGGGACUUCGGGACCCAAACGCGGCGUUUCCUUUUUGCGUUCCACGACGAAGCCCUACAAAUUGGGUCAAAAAACCACCGAAUCCUUCAGUUUGGACGCAGCCCCCUUCCCAUGGGUGCGGUGCUCCAAUGACGACGCAGCGACGGCACGCGUUGUAAACAACACUUUCUGUAAUAAAUAAUCCAAAAUCGGGGCUAAACGGCCCCGAAAUAAAUAGUGUUCAAUAUUAAAUACCCUACAAUUAAAUAAUCCCUUCAAUAAAUACAACCAACCAAUAAAUAUCGGAGCGACCCACAAAGAACUGGGGCUCUGAGGGUGAGGUAGAGGCACCCACGGGUGCUCGGUGCCACCGCAGCUUCGUUACCGCAGCGUCGGUCCCCCAAAGCAUCCCCAAAUCCAUUGGGUGUCACCUCCAGGCGGAGGUGACAGUCGUACGGUGUCACCCGGACAACAGGGUGACCGUCUGGGUUGUCAGUGCGCAGUGAUGUUGUAGGCCCGCGGGGUCGGCGACGGCAACAACCGUGGGCAGGAGGUGCCCACGGGUGUCACCUGUCCCCCAGUGGGUGGGCACGUUGUCACCGGCGGUGUCACAGUCGUCCCAAGUCGCGCUGUCACCACGACCAUCUCCGGUGUCACCGCUCCUUCAGGUUGCGACGUCCCCACGACCGUCUCCUCGGGUUGUGGUGGUUGUGGUGACAAGUGAGGUGGUAACGACGACACGUUCAGCGUCACCGCGACCGCCCUGGCUGUCACCACCACCUCUCCUGGUUGCGUUGGCUUCCCAACCACCUUGGGUGUCAUGGCCACCUCUCCCGGUUGUAUCGUCACCAUGACCACUGUGGGUGUCACCACCACCUCCCCGGGUUGUGUUGUCACCGCUUUGGGUGUCACGGCCACCAUCUCGGGUGUCACCACCACCUCCCUGGGUUGUGUUGUCUUCCCAACCACCACAGGUGUCACGGCCACCUCUCCUGGUUGUGUUGUCACCGCUUUGGGUGUCACGGCCACCAUCUUGGGUGUCACGGCCACCUCUCCCGCCUGUGUUGUCACCUCAACCUCCCCAGGUUGCGUUGUCACCGUCUCCGCCGGCGCGCUGUAAACCUGAACGCUGACCACUGCCAACAACACCAGGAGGAGCCGCGUGGCCAGGCUGACUUCUUCCGUUGGGGGCGGCCGUCGCACCUGGAGGGGGGGCAACGAAGGGUUAACACACAGCUUUUCGGGAGGUGAAAAGCCUUAAAAUGGGGGACAAACGGCGUUACCAGGGGGAAUUCCCCCCAUUUUCGGCGACGUUCUUGGGGUUCGUGUAGAGGGGACCCAGCUGAGAGCAAAGCCAACCCGAGCCUAAUUAGCUGCUGGGGUUAAUGGGUUAAUAACCCCGCUCCUGCAGGGGCAACGCUGUCUGAAUUCGGGGUUAAAAACUCCCGAAACGAAGGAAAACGUAAUCCUUGAGGGGGCGAAUGUAAUUGUCUGGUGGGAAACCCCCCGCUUUUGGGUUGCUUCUGUGAGGUUUAAUGGGUUAAUAACAUCCUGAGGGGAAUGAUCGCCUUCAUUUUGGGUUAAAAAACCCCAAAAUUAGGGUAAUUAUCAUCCUUGAGUGACAAAAUGUAGUUUUAAGGGGAAAUUUCCCCAUUUCGGGUUCUAGUUUCACAGGUUCUAUGGGAUCUCUGUGGGGUUCUAUGAAAUGCCAGUUGUUUUCCCCCUAAAUACUGCUUCAAUUUGGGGUUAAAAGCCCUAAAAUCAGGGAAAAUGUAAUUCUAGGGGGAAAAGCAGCUCCAGUUUUAGUUACGAAAACCCUAAAACGGGAGAAAAUAUUACUUGAAGGUGGUAGUGGGGGGAACACUGCCCCAGUUUUGGGUUAAAAAGCAUAAAUGAUGAGAAAACAGAAUACAGACGGAGAUAUCCUGCUCUAGUUUGGAGGUAAAACGUCCUAAAAAGAGGAAAAAUGUUGUUCUAAAGGGAAAAUACCACCCCAGAUUUGGGUUAAAACACCUAAAAAAAGGAAAAAUGUGACUAGGUAG
rnacentral:lncRNA from 1 species